rnacentral:rRNA from 1 species
GGAGAGUGCAAACGUUGUUCGGAUUCACUGGGCGUAAAGGGCACGUAGGCGGCUCGGCAAAUCGGUCGUGGAAUCCCGACGCUUACCGUCGGAACGGCGGCCGAAAAUACCGGGCUCGAGGGCGUGAGGGGUCACUGGAACUCCUGGUGAAGCGGUGAAAUGCGUAGAUAUCAGGAGGAACGCCGGAGGCGAAAGCGAGUGACUGGCGCGUUCCUGACGCUGAGGUGCGAAAGCUAGGGGAGCAAACAGGAUUAGAUACCCUGGUAGUCCUAGCCGUAAACGAUGGACACUGAGUGGAGGAGGGCUUGCCUUUCUCUGCUGCAGCUAACGCGUUAAGUGUCCCGCAGGGGGAGUACGGCCGCAAGGUUA